GGAACUGUGCCUGAAGUAAAGGACCACUUUGAUAGAGUGCAUUAUGAGGGUUAAAGCCCCUCCAGCUCCU
rnacentral:tRNA from 1 species